UACGUAGGUGGCAAGCGUUGUCCGGAAUUACUGGGUGUAAAGCGCGCGUAGGCGGUAGGCCAAGUCUGCUGUGAAAUCGCCCGGCUCAACUGGGCGCGGUCGGUGGAAACUGGUCAACUGGAGGACGGUAGAGGCGAGUGGAAUUCCCGGUGUAGUGGUGAAAUGCGUAGAGAUCGGGAGGAACACCAGUGGCGUAGGCGGCUCGCUGGGCCGGACCUGACGCUGAGGCGCGAAGGCGUGGGGAGCGAACGGG
rnacentral:rRNA from 1 species